rnacentral:lncRNA from 1 species
AAAAUGAAAAUGCAAAAUAUAUAAAAUAAAAAUUGAGAAAAAGAAGAAAAAAAUAAAAAAUGAAGAGGCAAAAAUAUGAAAAAAAAAUAAAAAGAAAAAAAUUUAUAGAAAAUUUUAAAACAAAGAAAAAAGUGAACAAAAAAAAAUGAAAGCACAUAAAAAAAAAGUAAAAAAAAGAAGAAAAAUUCGGAAGGAGAAAAAGUUAAUGAAAAAUUAUAAAAAUGCAACAGAAAAUAACCAAGAAUGAUAAAAGAAAAAAAGAUAGAAAAAUAAAAAAUUCCAAAACUUUAUAAAAAUUUAUGAAAUUAUAAAUAAAGAAAGAAAAUAAAACACGAAAAAAAAUUAAAGCAAAAGAAAAAAGAUAAAUAAAGCACAAAAAAAAAAAAGUAAGAAAAUGAAAAAGGACAAAAAUUGAAUAAAAAUUUCAAAAAUGAAAUGGAAUGACAAAAUGAAAAAAAUUAGUUUAAAAAAUACAAAAAAUUGAAAAACAUAUAAGUUCUAACAAUAUAAAAAGUUUGGGAAUUUAAAAACACAAAUAAGAAAUGAAAGGAAAUUUAUGGAAAAAAAAAAAAGAAAAGACAAAAGAUUUGGAAUAAAAAAUAGAAAAAUAAAAUUUUUAAAACGACGAAAAAUUAAAAUAAGAAAAAAAAUUAAAGCAAAAGAAAAAAGAUAAAUAAAGCAUGAAAAAAGAAAAAAAAAACAAAAAUACAACAAAAAAUUAUAAAAGGUAAGAAAAUGAAAGAGGACAGAAAAUGAAUAAAAAUUUCAAAAAUGAAAUGGAAUGACAAAAUGAAAAUAAAAUUAGUUUAAAAAAUAAAAAAAAAUUGAAAAACAUAUAAGACCUAACAAUAUAAAAAGUCAGACAAAAAAUAAAAAAAGAGAAAAGUUAAUGCAAAAUAAAAAAAAAGUAUGAGAAUUUAAAAGCGCAAAUAAGAAAUGAAAGGAAAUUUGAGGAAAAAAAGAGACAAAAGAUUUGGAAUAAAAAAUAGAAAAAUAGAAAAUUUUAAAACAACAAAAAAAUUAAAACAAGUAAAAAUGAAAGCAUAUGAAAAAAAAAAGCAAAAAGAAGGCAAAUUAUGAAGGGAAAAAGUUAUUAAAAAAUUACAAAGUAGAAAAAAAGAAAAUAAAAAAUAAAUUAAGAGAAAAAAUUAAAUAAAAUACCAAAAAAGGAAAAAAUAAAAAUAAACAAAUUAAGAAAAUAAAAAAUUAGCGAAUCAAAAAAUAUAAAAAGACAAAAUGAAUAAAAAUUUCAAAUAUAAAAUGAAAAAAACUAUUGGUUCAGAAUGUACAAAGAAAAAUAAAAAAAAUAUAACAAGCAGAGGAAAAAGAUAUAAAAUAUGAAAGAUGAAAAAUAAAAUAAAAGAAAGUGCACAAAAAAAGAAGUUUGAGGUUUUAAAACUAUAAAGAAGAAAUAAAAAAAGGUGUGAACAAAAAGAUUUAAGAAAAAAAAAGAAAAUACAAAAUAUAUAAAAUAAAAUUUGAGAAAAAGAAGAAAAAAAUAAAAAAUGAAGAGGCAAAAAUAUGAAAUAAAAGAAAAAGAAAAAAUUUAUAGAAAAUUUUAAAACAAAGAGAAAAGUGAACAAAAAAGAAUGAUGGCAUAUAAAAAAAAAGUAAAAAAAAGAAGAAAAAUUUGGAAGGAGAAAAAGUUAAUGAAAAAAAUAUAAAAAUGCAAUAGAAAAUAACCAAGAAUGAUAAAAGAAAAAAAGAUAGAAAAGUAAAAAAUUCUAAAACUUUAUAAAAAUUUAUGAAAUUAUAAAUAAAGAAAGAAAAUAAAAAAUAAAAUAAAAUAAGAAAAAAAAGUAAAGCAAAAGAAAAAAGAUAAAUAAAGCACAAAAAAAACAAAAAUACAACAAAAAAUAUAAAAAGUAAGAAAAUAAAAAAAGGACAAAAAUUGAAUAAAAAUUUCAAAAAUGAAAUGGAAUGACAAAAUGAAAAAAAAAUUAGUUUAACAAAAAAUUGAAAAACAUAUAAGACCUAAUAAUAUAAAAAGUCAGAGAAAAAAUUAAAAAAGAGCAAAGUUAAUGCAAAAUAAAAAAAAAAGUAUGAGAAUUUAAAAACGCAAAUAGGAAAUGAAAGGAAAUUUGUGGAAAAAAAAAAGAAAAGACAAAAGAUUUGGAAUAAAAAACAGAAAAAUAAAAAUUUUUAAAACAAUGAAAAAUUAAAACAAGUAAACAUGAAAGCAUAUGUAAAAAAAGCAAAAAGAAGGAAAAUUGUGAAGGGAAAAAGUUAUUAAGAAAUUACAAAGUAGAAAAAAAUAAGAAAAUAAAAAAAUAAAUUAAGAGAAAAAAUUAAAUAAAAUACCAAAAAAGGAAAAAAUAAAAAAUUAGCGAAUCAAAAAAAUAUAAAAAGACAAAAUGAAUAAUCAAAUAUAAAAUGGAAAAAACUUUUAGUUUAGAAUUUACAAAGAAAAAAAAUAACAAAUAGAGGAAAAAGAUAUAAAAUAUGAAAGAUGAAAAAUAAAAUAAAAGAAAGUGCACAAAAAAAGAAGUUUGAGGUUUUAAAGUUAUAAAGAAGAAAAAAAAAAAGGUGUGAACAAAAAGAUUUAAGAAAAAAAUAAAAAAUGAAAAUACAAAAUAUAUAAAAUAAAAUUUGAGAAAAAGAAGAAAAAAAUAAAGAAUGAAGAGGCAAAAAUAUGAAAUAAAACAAAAAGAAAAAAAAUUAUAGAAAAUUUUAAAACAAAGAAAAAACUGAACGAAAAAGAAUGAAAGCACAUAAAAAAAAGUAAAAAAAGAAGAAAAAUUCGGAAGGAGAAAAAGUUAAUGAAAAAUUAUAAAAAUGCAACAGAAAAUAACCAAGAAUGAUAAAAGAAAAAAAGAUAGAAAAAUAAAAAAUUCCAAAACUUUAUAAAAAUUUAUGAAAUUAUAAAUAAAGAAAGAAAAUAAAAUAAGAAAAAAAUUAAAGCAAAAGAAAAAAGAUAAAUAAAGCACGAAAAAAGAAAAAAAAAACAAAAAUACAACAAAAAAUAUAAAAAGUAAGAAAAUGAAAAAGGACAAAAAUUGAAUAAAAAUUUCAAAAAUGAAAUGGAAUGACAAAAUGAAAAAAAAAUUAGUUUAAAAAAUACAAAAAAUUAAAAAACAUAUAAGACCAAACAAUCUAAAAAGUCUGACAAAAAAUUAAAAAAGAGAAAAGUUAAUGCAAAAUAAAAAAAAAAAGUAUGAGAAUUUAAAAACGCAAAUAAGAAAUGAAAGGAAAUUUGUGGAAAAAAAAGAAAAGACAAAAGAUUUGGAAUAAAAAAGAGAAAAAUAAAAAUUUUUAAAACAACGAAAAAAUUAAAAAAAGUAAAAAUGAAAACAUAUGAAAAAAAAAAAGCAAAAAGAAGGAAAAUUGCAAAGGGAAAAAGUUAUUAAAAAUUUACAAAGUAAAAAAAAGUUAGGGAAUCAAAAAAUAUAAAAGGAAAAAAAUAAAAAUAAACAAAGUAAGAAAAUAAAAAAUUAGGGAAUCAAAAAAUAUAAAAAGACAAAAUGAAUAAAAAUUUCAAAUAUAAAAAGAAAGUGCACAAAAAAAGAAGUUUGAGGUUUUAAAAUUACAAAGAAGAAAUAAAAAAAGGUGUGAACAAAAAGAUUUAAGAAAAAAAUAACAAAUGAAAAUACAAAAUAUAUAAAAAAAUAUUUGAGAAAAAAAUGAGAAAAAGAAGAAAAAAUAAAAAAUGAAGAGGCAAAAAUAUGAAAUAAAACAAAAAGAAAAAAAUUUAUAGAAAAUUUUAAAACAAAGAAAAAACUGAACGAAAAAGAAUGAAAGCACAUAAAAAAAAGUAAAAAAAAGAAGAAAAAUUCGGAAGGAGAAAAAGUUAAUGAAAAAUUAUAAAAAUGCAACAGAAAAUAACCAAGAAUGAUAAAAGAAAAAAAGAUAGAAAAAUAAAAAAUUCUAAAACUUUAUAAAAAUUUAUGAAAUUAUAAAUAAAGAAAGAAAAUAAAACACGAAAAAAAAUUAAAGCAAAAGAAAAAAGAUAAAUAAAGCACAAAAAAAAAAACAAAAAUACAACAAAAAAUAUAAAAAGUAAGAAAAUGAAAAAGGACAAAAAUUGAAUAAAAAUUUCAAAAAUGAAAUGGAAUGACAAAAUGAAAAAAAUUAGUUUAAAAAAUACAAAAAAUUGAAAAACAUAUAAGUUCUAACAAUAUAAAAAGUUUGGGAAUUUAAAACACAAAUAAGAAAUGAAAGGAAAUUUAUGGAAAAAAAAAAGAAAGACAAAAGAUUUGGAAUAAAAAAUAGAAAAAUAAAUUUUAAAACGACGAAAAAUUAAAAUAAGAAAAAAAAUUAAAGCAAAAGAAAAAGAUAAAUAAAGGCAUGAAAAGAAAAAAAAACAAAAAUACAACAAAAAUUAUAAAAGGUAAGAAAAUGAAAGAGGACAGAAAAAUGAAUAAAAUUCAAAAAUGAAAUGGAAUGACAAAUGAAAAUAAAAUUAGUUUUAAAAAAUAAAAAAAUUGAAAAACAUAUAAGACCUAACAAUAUAAAAAGUCAGACAAAAAAUUAAAAAGAGAAAAGUUAAUGCAAAAUAAAAAAAAGUAUGAGAAUUUAAAAGCAGCAAAUAAGAAUGAAAGGAAAUUUGAUGAAAAAAAGAGACAAAAGAUUUGGAAUAAAAAAUAGAAAAAUAGAAAAUUUUAAAACAACAAAAAAAAUUAAAACAAGUAAAAAUGAAAGCAUAUGAAAAAAAAAGCAAAAAGAAGGCAAAUUAUGAAGGGAAAAAGUUAUUAAAAAAUUACAAAGUAGAAAAAAAAGAAAAUAAAAAAAUAAAUUAAGAGAAAAAAUUAAAUAAAAUACCAAAAAGGAAAAAAUAAAAAUAAACAAAUUAAGAAAAUAAAAAAUUAGCGAAUCAAAAAAUAUAAAAAGACAAAAUGAAUAAAAAUUUCAAAUAUAAAAUGAAAAAAACUAUUGGUUCAGAAUGUACAAAGAAAAAUAAAAAAAAUAUAACAAGCAGAGGAAAAAGAUAUAAAAUAUGAAAGAUGAAAAAUAAAAUAAAAGAAAGUGCACAAAAAAAGAAGUUUGAGGUUUUAAAACUAUAAAGAAGAAAUAAAAAAGGUGUGAACAAAAAGAUUUAAGAAAAAAAAAAGAAAAUACAAAAUAUAUAAAAUAAAUUUGAGAAAAAGAAGAAAAAAUAAAAAAUGAAGAGGCAAAAAUAUGAAAUAAAAGAAAAAGAAAAAAUUUAUAGAAAAUUUUAAAACAAAGAAAAAAGUGAACAAAAAAGAAUGAUGGCAUAUAAAAAAAAGUAAAAAAAAGAAGAAAAAUUUGGAAGGAGAAAAAGUUAAUGAAAAAAAUAUAAAAAUGCAAUAGAAAAUAACCAAGAAUGAUAAAAGAAAAAAAGAUAGAAAAGUAAAAAAUUCUAAAACUUUAUAAAAAUUUAUGAAAUUAUAAAUAAAGAAAGAAAAUAAAAAAUAAAAUAAAAUAAGAAAAAAAAGUAAAGCAAAAGAAAAAAGAUAAAUAAAGCACAAAAAAAACAAAAAUACAACAAAAAUAUAAAAAGUAAGAAAAUAAAAAAAGGACAAAAAUUGAAUAAAAAUUUCAAAAAUGAAAUGGAAUGACAAAAUGAAAAAAAAUUAGUUUAACAAAAAAUUGAAAAACAUAUAAGACCUAAUAAUAUAAAAAGUCAGAGAAAAAAUUAAAAAAGAGCAAAGUUAAUGCAAAAUAAAAAAAAAAGUAUGAGAAUUUAAAAACGCAAAUAAGAAAUGAAAGGAAAUUUGUGGAAAAAAAAAAGAAAAGACAAAAGAUUUGGAAUAAAAAACAGAAAAAUAAAAAUUUUUAAAACAAUGAAAAAUUAAAACAAGUAAACACGAAAGCAUAUGUAAAAAAAGCAAAAAGAAGGAAAAUUGUGAAGGGAAAAAGUUAUUAAGAAAUUACAAAGUAGAAAAAAAUAAGAAAAUAAAAAAAAUAAAUUAAGAGAAAAAAUUAAAUAAAAUACCAAAAAAGGAAAAAAUAAAAAAUUAACGAAUCAAAAAAAUAUAAAAAGACAAAAUGAAUAAUCAAAUAUAAAAUGGAAAAAACUUUUAGUUUAGAAUUUACAAAGAAAAAGAAAAAAAAAUAACAAAUAGAGGAAAAAGAUAUAAAAUAUGAAAGAUGAAAAAUAAAAUAAAAGAAAGUGCACAAAAAAAGAAGUUUGAGGUUUUAAAGUUAUAAAGAAGAAAAAAAAAAAGGUGUGAACAAAAAGAUUUAAGAAAAAAAUAAAAAAUGAAAAUACAAAAUAUAAAAUAAAAUUUGAGAAAAGAAGAAAAAAAAUAAAGAAUGAAGAGGCAAAAAUAUGAAAUAAAACAAAAAGAAAAAAAAUUUAUAGAAAAUUUUAAAACAAAGAAAAAACUGAACGAAAAAGAAUGAAAGCACAUAAAAAAAAGUAAAAAAAAGAAGAAAAAUUCGGAAGGAGAAAAAGUUAAUGAAAAAUUAUAAAAAUGCAACAGAAAAUAACCAAGAAUGAUAAAAGAAAAAAAGAUAGAAAAAUAAAAAAUUCCAAAACCUUAUAAAAAUUUAUGAAAUUAUGAAUAAAGAAAGAAAAUAAAAUAAGAAAAAAAAUUAAAGCAAAAGAAAAAAGAUAGAUAAAGCACGAAAAAAAAAAAAAAAAACAAAAAUACAACAAAAAAUUAUAAAAAGUAAGAAAAUGAAAAAGGACAAAAAUUGAAUAAAAAUUUCAAAAAUGAAAUGGAAUGACAAAAUGAAAAAAAAAUUAGUUUAAAAAAUACAAAAAAUUAAAAAACAUAUAAGACCAAACAAUCUAAAAAGUCUGACAAAAAAUUAAAAAAGAGAAAAGUUAAUGCAAAAUAAAAAAAAAAAGUAUGAGAAUUUAAAAACGCAAAUAAGAAAUGAAAGGAAAUUUGUGGAAAAAAAAAGAAAAGACAAAAGAUUUGGAAUAAAAAAGAGAAAAAUAAAAAUUUUUAAAACAACGAAAAAAUUAAAAAAAGUAAAAAUGAAAACAUAUGAAAAAAAAAAAAGCAAAAAGAAGGAAAAUUGCAAAGGGAAAAAGUUAUUAAAAAUUUACAAAGUAAAAAAAAGUUAGGGAAUCAAAAAAUAUAAAAGGAAAAAAAUAAAAAUAAACAAAGUAAGAAAAUAAAAAAUUAGGGAAUCAAAAAAUAUAAAAAGACAAAAUGAAUAAAAAUUUCAAAUAUAAAAAGAAAGUGCACAAAAAAAGAAGUUUGAGGUUUUAAAAUUACAAAGAAGAAAUAAAAAAAGGUGUGAACAAAAAGAUUUAAGAAAAAAAUAACAAAUGAAAAUACAAAAUAUAUAAAAAAAUAUUUGAGAAAAAAAUGAGAAAAAGAAGAAAAAAAUAAAAAAUGAAGAGGCAAAAAUAUGAAAUAAAACAAAAAGAAAAAAAUUUAUAGAAAAUUUUAAAACAAAGAAAAAAAAUACAAAAAAGGACAAAAAUUGAAUAAAAAUUUCAAAAAUGAAAUGGAAUGACAAAAUGAAAAAAAAAAAAUAGUUUAAAAAAGACAAAAAAAAAUUGAAAAACAUAUAAGUCCUAACAAUAUAAAAAGUCAGACAAAAAAUUAAAAAAGAGAAAAGUUAAUGCAAAAUAAAAAAAAGUAUGAGAAUUUAAAAAUGCAAAUAAGAAAUGAAAGGAAAUGUGUGGAAAAAAAAAGAGAAGCAAGAAAAGACAAAAGAUUUGGAAUAAAAAAUAGAAAAAUAAAAAAUUUUAAAACAACGAAAAAAUUAAAACCAGUAAAAAUGAAAGCAUAUGAAAAAAAAGCAAAAAGAAGGAAAAUUGUGAAGGAAAAAAGUUAUUAAAAAAUUACAAAGUUGAAAAAAAAUAAAUUAAGCGAAAAAAUUAAAUAAAAUACCCAGAAAGGAAAAAUAAAAAUAAACAAAGUAAGAAAAUAAAAAAUUAGCGAAGCAAAAAAAUAUAAAAAGACAAAUGAAUAAAAAUUUCAAAUAUAAAAUGGAAAAAACUUUUAGUUUAGAAUGUAGAAAGAAAAACAAAAAAAAAAAAACAAAUAGAGGAAAAAGAUAUAAAAUAUGAAAGAUGAAAAAUAAAAUAAAAGAAAGUGCACAAAAAAAGAAGUUUGAGGUUUUAAAAUUAUAAAGAAGAAAUAAAAAAAGGUGCGAACAAAAAGAUUUAAGAAAAAAAUAAAAAAUGAAAAUGCAAAAUAUAUAAAAUAAAAAUUGAGAAAAAGAAGAAAAAAAUAAAAAAUGAAGAGGCAAAAAUAUGAAAAAAAAAUAAAAAGAAAAAAAUUUAUAGAAAAUUUUAAAACAAAGAAAAAAGUGAACAAAAAAAAUGAAAGCACAAAAAAAAAGUAAAAAAAAGAAGAAAAAUUCGGAAGGAGAAAAAGUUAAUGAAAAAUUAUAAAAAUGCAACAGAAAAUAACCAAGAAUGAUAAAAGAAAAAAAGAUAGAAAAAUAAAAAAUUCCAAAACUUUAUAAAAAUUUAUGAAAUUAUAAAUAAAGAAAGAAAAUAAAACACGAAAAAAAAUUAAAGCAAAAGAAAAAAGAUAAAUAAAGCACAAAAAAAAAAAACAAAAAUACAACAAAAAAUAUAAAAAGUAAGAAAAUGAAAAAGGACAAAAAUUGAAUAAAAAUUUCAAAAAUGAAAUGGAAUGACAAAAUGAAAAAAAUUAGUUUAAAAAAUACAAAAAAUUGAAAAACAUAUAAGUUCUAACAAUAUAAAAAGUUUGGGAAUUUAAAAACACAAAUAAGAAAUGAAAGGAAAUUUAUGGAAAAAAAAAAAGAAAAGACAAAAGAUUUGGAAUAAAAAAUAGAAAAAUAAAAUUUUUAAAACGACGAAAAAUUAAAAUAAGAAAAAAAAUUAAAGCAAAAGAAAAAAGAAAAAAAAACAAAAAUACAACAAAAAAUUAUAAAAGGUAAGAAAAUGAAAGAGGACAGAAAAUGAAUAAAAAUUUCAAAAAUGAAAUGGAAUGACAAAAUGAAAAUAAAAUUAGUUUAAAAAAUAAAAAAAAAUUGAAAAACAUAUAAGACCUAACAAUAUAAAAAGUCAGACAAAAAAUAAAAAAAGAGAAAAGUUAAUGCAAAAUAAAAAAAAAGUAUGAGAAUUUAAAAGCGCAAAUAAGAAAUGAAAGGAAAUUUGAGGAAAAAAAGAGACAAAAGAUUUGGAAUAAAAAAUAGAAAAAUAGAAAAUUUUAAAACAACAAAAAAAAUUAAAACAAGUAAAAAUGAAAGCAUAUGAAAAAAAAAAGCAAAAAGAAGGCAAAUUAUGAAGGGAAAAAGUUAUUAAAAAAUUACAAAGUAGAAAAAAAAGAAAAUAAAAAAAUAAAUUAAGAGAAAAAAUUAAAUAAAAUACCAAAAAAGGAAAAAAUAAAAAUAAACAAAUUAAGAAAAUAAAAAAUUAGCGAAUCAAAAAAUAUAAAAAGACAAAAUGA